rnacentral:rRNA from 1 species
UGUGUAAUACAUGAAGUCGAGCGAACAGAGAAGGAGUUGCUCCUUUGACGUUAGCGGCGGACGGGUGAGUAACACGUGGGCAACCUACCUUAUAGUUUGGGAUAACUCCGGGAAACCGGGGCUAAUACCGAAUAAUCUAUUUCACUUCAUGGUGAAAUACUGAAAGACGGUCUCCGCUGUCCCUAUGAGACGGGCCCUGGGCAUUACUACUUGGCGAGGUAACCGCUCACCAAGGCGACCAUUGGUAGACCGACCUAAACGGUGAUCUGACACACUGGACUUUACACGGCCAGACUCCUUCCGGAGGAGGACCGGAAUCUUCCAAAGGGCCAAAAUCUUUGGGAACCAUAAGGGAAAAGGUUUGGACUUAAACUGUUUUAAGGGAGAACUCCAACACUGGUGUGUUGGGCCCCUGGAACCCCGUUUUUACGGGGCAAAGGGGGGAAAAACCUUGGGGG